rnacentral:lncRNA from 1 species
ACCAAACCCUACCCCGUUCAUUUCUUCUCUAACACUCACAGACCCCUUCAGAGACCCCAAGCUUCUCCGCUACCAGAAAUUGCCUCACGGUGGUUCCGGUGGCCCAAACUGUCCCAGUUUUAAACCAAUGAACCCUCACGACCUCCUAAUGCCAACCCCAUACCCACUUUCCCUCGAAUUCAAGCCGAACCCUCGAAUAUCCCUUCAAAGGGAUGAACCCUAGCACCGCCCAAAAAUCCCCUGUGGCGGCGCCGCCUUUGAACCAUCCCACACUCAUACCCCACAACCUCUUUGACUCCCUCACCCCAAAUACAUACUUAAUAUCCCUCGAAUAAGGUCCAAACUUGUCAAAUGGUAAUCACAGCCAGGGCGAGCCCUAAGUUUAAAAUCCAGCGAGCUGCGAUGACCUUUGGUCUACAUUAGACUUUAAUCGUGUGUUUUCAUUACUGGAAACACGCGAUUAAAGUCCACUUCAGUCCAAAGCAAAGGGACAAGGAAUUUCCAGUUUUGGUCCAUUUGAUUCCCGGGUAUUUUUCCAACUCUUCUUUCUUUUUGCUAUUUUGUAGUUUUUAUUUUUUUUAGUACCUUUCUCCUCCUGUUUCAUUUUGUUUUGUCCCAUGUUUGAACUGAUUAGGUCUCCACGAAUGUGUAAACUGCUUAGUCAGUAGUCAUUAAAUCAAAUGGUUUGAUCACUCAAGUAUUGUGAAUCGUUUGUUUGUUUGUUCAUGAAUUUGUCAGUCUCUUUAAGCUUUUCUGGUUGUUUCUUCCACUUGAUCUCUAAAAAAUGUUAGUAUGUGUGUUUGGUCUCUCUGAUCUUAGCCUGUUCUCUUUCAAACUAAUCAGUGUUCAAGAUCAUGUGUGUUGAAUCCAUAACAAAUUCCCAAGUUGUUUUCCUAUUAUUUUAAUCUCAUCAUGUUUAAUCUGUUUUGCCUGAUGUUAAUUUAGAAAUGUAAUUGGUUUCAAGUGUGGUCAGCCUACGUAUCUAUAUCAUAAAUCUGAUCUUGUUAGUCCAAUAAGGUUUUUGCCUUGUUUCAUUGGUCCUAUUUUUGAUGCCAUUUGAUCUGAUUUGAGUUUCUGCUCCUGAACUGUUAGUUUAGGUUAAUAAGAGAAUUGGUAGCUGGUGAAAUGCAAAACCAGUGAUAGAAUAAUAUCAGGGUUUCUAGGGGUAAUUUGGGAAGUUCAAAAGUUGAAAUCUGGUUUGACUAAUAAUCUACCCUGUAGGGCCCCUAAUAGCUUUAAUUUGAAUUAAUUAGUAGUGGGAGAUCACUAAGUAAUGAGAAUGGUUGGCUGAUUGGAAUUAGGAAUAGUAGUUUAAUGAUAAAAAGUGUAAAGAAUAUACAUAGAAGAGCAUAUUUGGGGGCUGGAAAUUAAAGUAACGGGUAAUUGGAAGGAUAAUAAUAAAAGAGUAGUAAUAAUAAUUAAAGGGAGAGGGAAGAGAGUCUUGGUUUUAGAUAUAUAAGAAUUCAUUUCAACACUUAAAAAGGGGGGGAUUUGUUAAAAAGAGGGGAGGAGAAAAAGAGUUGAGUUAAAAACUAUUAACUUUCUAAUUCAAAGAAUUCAGUGAGUUUAGAGUGGAAAUAGACUAAUUUUCAAUCUGAAAGAGUAAGAGCUGAGAGCUAGACAUUAACAACUGAAAUUUGAUCACUAUGCCAUUGAGCUUUUUCUCCAAUUUAUAAAGAUUUGAUUUCUUAAAGCAUUUCCUGAUUGAUAUGAGUUCAAGAUAGGUUUAAUUUGAGUUUGUACAAGCCUUGGUUCGAAUUUGUGUGGGGUACUGUUCGGUUGAAAGUUUUCCUGGGCUGCUGCAUUUCACUUUGUUGAAUCAGCUGAGAAUUGUUUUGUUUUGGUCAAGUUGAGGCUAGAUAUCUUGAUAAUUGGUUUCUAUCGACAUUUCUUGGUUUCGAGUUUGGUUCAAUUGGUUUUUCUCUAGGUCAUCUCUGGACGAUUUUGCUGCUGAAAACCGUAUUUGUUACUGCUGUGCUGUGUUUGCUGCACCUCACCUCUUCAUUGUCUUCUUCUUAUUCCCAUGUACAUAUCCCUGACUUAAGCAUGUAAAAACAGAUCAUGGGUGUUUUAUUGAAGAGAAAUGAAGCUUAUGCUUUUCUAUUUUUAGAAUGUUCUUCCUCUUUUAGUUUGAUUCUUAGCUUGUAGUGUCAAUUACUUUUCUCAGCAUGUUUAACAUGAAGUUAGUUUUAGAUUAAAUUAGCUUUGAGUUAUUUUGCGGUUCAAAUUAAUAAACAAAUCCCGUUUCGAUUAUCCUUUAAUUAGAAAAACUCUCUUGCGUCCCCGCGGGGCGGAAAAAGGAGGUGUGACAGUAACGCCCUAUUCUUAAUGAAUAUCAAGCUCUUAUCCAUCAUGUACUUAUCUACUAUAAAAUAUAAAAGUAAAACUAUAUGAUUGUCUUUCUCUGUAGACAGAGUAUGUGCUCUUCUUAAAAAAUCGCAUAGG